rnacentral:rRNA from 1 species
CCCUUAGAUGUUCUGGGCCGCACGCGCGCUACACUGAUGAAUUCAACGAGCUCCUAACCUAGGCCGAAGGGUCCGGGUAAUCUUUGAAAUUUCAUCGUGAUGGGGAUAGAUUAUUGCAAUUAUUAAUCUUCAACGAGGAAUUCCUAGUAAGCGCGAGUCAUCAGCUCGCGUUGAUUACGUCCCUGCCCUUUGUACACACCGCCCGUCGCUCCUACCGAUUGAAUGGUCCGGUGAAAUGUUCGGACCGCGACAAGGCGGACGGUUCGCUGUCAGCUUUGCUGCGGGAAGUUCAUUAAACCCUAUCAUUUAGAGGAAGGAGAAGUCGUANCA